UCCUACCUAUCUUUCUCAAUCAUUAUAGAAUGAUGAAUCCUAUAGUGAACUACCCAUGAUUUGCUAGGAUUACUAUAGAUUUUUGAAAAAGACCACCAGCUCUAGAAGAAGCCAGUGAAUUUAGUGAGAGGUUCAUCUGCAGGUUGUCGAUCCACUAGGAGAAGAAAGAAAAACAAGGUGCAAAAAUCCCAUGUCGUCGAUCCUAAGCAGAGCAAAACAUUAAAAGUUGAUAAGAACCAAAUAUAAUGCUUCUUUUAUAAGAACCU
rnacentral:lncRNA from 1 species